rnacentral:tRNA from 1 species
UCCCUGGUAGCUCAGUUGGUAGAGAAACUGCCUGCAAUGCAGGAAACCUGGGUUUGAUUCCUGGGUUGGGAA